rnacentral:lncRNA from 1 species
GGAGUUAUCUGCUGUAGAAGCUCGGAUGGAGACUUUUCGUUGGUGAAGCCCGACAGGAGUCCGAUUGCUAGAGGAGUCCGUCUGGGGUUUACCUGAUGUGGAAGCUCAUCUGAAGAUGAUCCACCAGAGAAGUUCGGUUUCAUGAAGGAUCUGGCAGGAGGUCGGUCGGUGAUGGACUUCGGAUGGCACUGGGGAGGUUCGACAGACGUUGGAGGCGAUCGAUCGUUGUAAGAAUCCAGCUGUCGGAGUCCGUCCGUCACAGAAGCU